GGUUGCGAUCAUACCAGCACUAAUGCACCGGAUCCCAUCAGAACUCCGCAGUUAAGCGUGCUUGGGCGAGAGUAGUACUAGGAUGGGUGACUCCCUGGGAAGUCCUCGUGUUGCAACCC
rnacentral:rRNA from 1 species